rnacentral:rRNA from 1 species
GCCCUUCCUACGGGAGGCAGCAGUAGGGAAUCUUCCACAAUGGACGCAAGUCUGGUGGAGCAACGCCGCGUGAGUGAAGAAGGUUUUCGGAUCGUAAAGCUCUGUUGUUGGUGAAGAAGGAUAGAGGUAGUAACUGGCCUUUAUUUGACGGUAAUCAACCAGAAAGUCACGGCUAACUACGUGCCAGCAGCCGCGGUAAUACGUAGGUGGCAAGCGUUGUCCGGAUUUAUUGGGCGUAAAGCGAGCGCAGGCGGAAGAAUAAGUCUGAUGUGAAAGCCCUCGGCUUAACCGAGGAACUGCAUCGGAAACUGUUUUUCUUGAGUGCAGAAGAGGAGAGUGGAACUCCAUGUGUAGCGGUGGAAUGCGUAGAUAUAUGGAAGAACACCAGUGGCGAAGGCGGCUCUCUGGUCUGCAACUGACGCUGAGGCUCGAAAGCAUGGGUAGCGAACAGGAUUAGAUACCCUGGUAGUCCAUGCCGUAAACGAUGAGUGCUAAGUGUUGGGAGGUUUCCGCCUCUCAGUGCUGCAGCUAACGCAUUAAGCACUCCGCCUGGGGAGUACGACCGCAAGGUUAAACUCAAAGGAAUGACGGAAGGGC